AUCCUAAGUCGCGCCAUGUCCUGUCUGAUCACCUAUAAACUAAAAAAAAUGAAUAAUUCGAAUUGAAAUCUAAAGUCUAUUAGUAACAUUCACUAUAUUUGGACUGUGUAAAUAUUAAUACAUUUAUAUUUGAAGCGGUAUGGCACCAGAACCUCGAAAUCCUCGAUCUUGGUUGUGAGAGGGAGAGUUCCAUUUUUUGGUUACUACUUAUAUUACUGUGAAUGCACAGUUUCAACUAAGUACAUUUGAAAGACCGGUAUUUACAACGUUGUUUGUUGUUUCCGCACACACGUUUUGAAACCGACAACACCUCAGCAAUUCGCCUCCUAAAUCUUAUAUGAAAACACAUCUCAUUUCUUUGAUUUCGAAUGUUGCCAAUAAACCCUAGUUCCAUUUUCACUCCGACAAGGUUUACCUGUUCCGCAUUCCCAUUUCAUCCUAAGACCACCAUCUCCAUUCGUUGCCACGCCGCCGCUGAUGCCGCUUCCUCCCUCGGCGCCGGCAGAAUUUCCCAGAACUCCGACGGCACGGCUCCGGUGGAGAAGCGAAGUUCGAGCAAAAACAUGAAAAUCAAUGGCUGGGGAAGGCCUUGGUCGCGUAAUAGAGAGAGCUACUUGACGGAUGAUGGUGAAGCUCUUCCUCUUCCCAUGACUUAUCCUAACACUUGUCCUGUUUCCGCGGAGGAAAUUGACCGUCGCCUUCGCUGUGAUCCCCAAAUUGAGGAUUGCAAGGAAGUCGUCUAUGAGUGGACUGGAAAAUGUCGGAGUUGCCAAGGAACAGGAUUUGUCAGUUACUAUAGUAAGCGAGGGAAGGAGACCAUCUGUAAAUGCAUACCUUGCCAAGGAAUUGAACAUGUCAAUGACACCUAUGCCAAUGCAAUCCAUGUCCAUGUAUCAUGGCCAUCAGUAUGUGAGCCAAGCUACUGAAGGAUUACAAGGUCAAGGAAACUCUGGCACUCAGACUCAAGUAGGUUCUUCCUCCUCACAGCCUCAGGGAUCAGCAAGUACUGCUUCACAAGGAGGUGACUUUCUCUCCACCAAGGAACAAUAUGAUCAAAUAAUGCAGAUUUUGAAUAAUACCCCGUCCUCCUACUCAAGCAAAUGCAGCAGGAUCUCUUCAGUGGCAAGGUGAGGGAGAUUGGUAGGGCUGAGAUGGCCUAUAUUUCCUGCAGAAACAUGGGGCCAAGAAGCUUACUGCAGUCGCCUUAGUUACAGCUGGAAUAAAGUCAAGAAAUAUGAUAUUACUUUGUGGCAUAAAAGAUUAGGUCAUAUCGUUAGCAUGGUACUCAGAAGACUGUUUCCUGCUAAACUAGCAAGUAUUACAAACGCUAUAAAUAAAUGCACUGUAUGCCCUUGUGCUAAACAAACUAGGUUGACAUUCCCUACUAGUUGUAUUAAGAGCACUGAUGCAUUUGAUCUGAUUCAUGUGGAUGUUUGGGGUCCUUACAAAUAUGCAACUUUUGAUGGAAAUAGAUAUUUCUUGACUGUUGUUGAUGAUUUCA